rnacentral:lncRNA from 1 species
AAACAUAAUAUUUUUUAUGCCCCACCUACGAUAGUAGAGGGGCAUUAUGUUUUCUGGUCUGUGCGUCCAUUCGUCUGUCUGUCUGUCUGUCUGUCUGUCUGUCUGUCUGUCUGUCUGUCUGUCUGUCUGUCUGUCUGUCUGUCUGUUCGUCCGUCUGUCCCUCUUCAGGUUAAAGUUUUUGGUCAAGGUAGUUUUUGAUGAAGUUGAAGUCCAAUCAACUUGAAACUUAGUACACAUGUUCCUUAUGAUAUGAUCUUUCUAAUUUUACAGCCAAAUUAAACUUUUGACCCCAAUUUCAUGGUCCACUGAACAUAGAAAAUGACAGUGCAUGUUUCAGGUUAAAGUUUUUGGUCAAGGUAGUUUUUGAUGAAGUUGAAGUCCAAUCAACUUGAAACUUAGUACACAUGUUCUCUAUGAUAUUAUCUUUCUAAUUUUAAUGCCUAAUUAUAUUUUUUAUCCAAUUUCAUGGUCCAUUGAACAUGGAAAAUAAUAGUGCGAGUGGGGCAUCCGUGUACUUUGGACACAUUCUUGUUUAUUGU